ensembl:snoRNA small nucleolar RNA, C/D box 100
GCUGUACAUGAUGACAACUGGCUCCCUCUACUGAACUGUCAUGAGGAAAAUGCCAUGUCACCCAAUCUGACUGCAGC